rnacentral:rRNA from 1 species
UGGGGAAUAUUGCACAAUGGGGGAAACCCUGAUGCAGCGACGCCGCGUGAGCGAUGAAGGCUUUCGAGUCGUAAAGCUCUGUCCUAUGGGAAGAUAAUGACGGUACCAUAGAAGAAAGCCCCGGCUAAUUACGUGCCAGCAGCCGCGGUAAUACGUAAGGGGCGAGCGUUGUCCGGAAUUAUUGGGCGUAAAGAGUGCGUAGGCGGCAAAUUAAGUCAGAUGUGAAAACUAAGGGCUCAACCCAUAGAUUGCAUCUGAAACUGAUAUGCUUGAGUCAAGGAGAGGAAAGUGGAAUUCCUAGUGUAGCGAUGGAAUGCGUAGAUAUAUGGAAGAACACCGGUGGCGAAAGCGGCUUUUUGGCCUGCAACUGACACUGAGGCGCGAAAGCGUGGGGAGCAAACAGG